AAGUUGGGUGAUAAAUCCGUUCAAAAGGUAGUAGAACCAGAGGAAGGGUGCUUGAACUAAUAGAGGGGUGACUCUGAAGGAUAAGGUUUUUGGAUUUUUUAUUAACUAAUAGAAAUCCUGCUCCGACGUAUCUUUGAGUGCAAUGGAGAACUUACGACUUACAUAGUUCUGGGUAGAAAAUGUUUAUUUGUUAGUCGAUUUUAG
rnacentral:lncRNA from 1 species